rnacentral:lncRNA from 1 species
AGUGAUUACAAAUCUCUACAGAAGUAUACACAUUGGUAUAAAUUGCUGCAGCCCCUUUGGGAAACUAUUUGCAUGAUCAUUGCACUUAAAAAUACACCAUACUGCUGCGCCAAGUUCAAGGACCCGAGUUCGAUCCCCGGUACAAAAAAAACAAAAAAUAAAAAUACACCAUAAACUAGCGCUGUGGCAAUAGCCUGUAGACUCAGCUACUCUGGAAGCUGAGGCAGGAGGAGGCUUGAGUGCAAGCAUUGGAGGACAACCUCACAAUUGGAGGCAACAUAUCAAGAUCUUGUCUCAGAGGGGAGAAAAAGCACUGGACUAACUGCCUGUCUUCUACAAGUUAUUCCUGUUCCCAGAAGAGAGUGAACAAAAAGAAGCCACCUUGUACUACCAAGAAAACACAGUCAUGUCCCUGCUGGCCUCUUUCUUGUACGCUGAACACCUGUGAGAGAACCUAGAGACCCUGGAUGGUUUGACUACCUCAGUCACCAGCUACUUUGUGUGCAUCUGUGUAUCUGCGUGUGUAUGAUCCUGGCCACACAGCAUGCAGAUGGAGUCCAUGCUGUUGCACAAGACUAAGCAAGGAAUGGCUCCUAGCUAUGUUCAAGCCCCUCUUUUUCCCCGAGGGAGGGAAAUUCAUAGCAGCUGCUGCCUGUGAUGAUGCUGAAGUAGACCAAUUCAGUACAAAGACACAUGAAAAACCAGAUUUGCAAGUUGUGAAGGAAGUAAAAAAUGAAUCAUCAGAAUCCUCAUCCAUGGAUGAUGAAGAUAGUCCAUUAUGAUAAAAUACAUGUUUUCAUAACAGAAGAGUGGUGUGGAUGGAUGAUGAUGAUGAUAACUUUGACAUUGGCCAUGUGAGCCGAAGUUCCUGAGACAGUGAAAUGGAGCAAAAAUCAACUGAUACAGACAAAGGAAUGGAGACUUCCUUGAUUCAGAUGAGGAAGAAAACAGCAAUUAAAAAAGAAGAUAAGAUGAAGGAGAAGAAGAUGAG